rnacentral:rRNA from 1 species
CAGCCGCGGUAAUUCCAGCUCCAAUAGCGUAUAUUAAAGUUGUUGCAGUUAAAAAGCUCGUAGUUGAACCUUGGGCCUGGCUGGCCGGUCCGCCUCACCGCGUGUACUGGUCCGGCCGGGCCUUUCCUUCUGGGGAGCCGCAUGCCCUUCACUGGGCGUGUCGGGGAACCAGGACUUUUACUUUGAAAAAAUUAGAGUGUUCAAAGCAGGCCUUUGCUCGAAUACAUUAGCAUGGAAUAAUAGAAUAGGACGUGUGGUUCUAUUUUGUUGGUUUCUAGGACCGCCGUAAUGAUUAAUAGGGAUAGUCGGGGCCGUCCGUAUUCAAUUGUCAGAGGUGAAAUUCUUGGAUUUAUUGAAGACGAACUACUGCGAAAGCAUUCGGCAAGGAUGUUUUCAUUAAUCAGUGAACGAAAGUUAGGGGAUCGAAGACGAUCAGAUACCGUCGUAGUCUUAACCAUAAACUAUGCCGACUAGGGAUCGGUGGGUGUUAUUAUUUUGACCCCAUCGGCACCUUACGAGAAAUCAAAGUUUUUGGGUUCUGGGGGGAGUAUGGUCGCAA